CUGGCCUCGACUCAAGACCAGCAGUUUGCUGAAGCUGUCGCUUUCAAGCAGGAGCCUAAAGAAAUGUCUUUCCACGGUCUGUUGAGCAUUUCAGAGCUGUGGCAAUGUGAUCGUCAGGUUCAUUGGGAAGAAACACCA